rnacentral:rRNA from 1 species
GCGAAAGCGAGUCUUAAUAGGGCGUCGAGUUAGAUGGAUCAGACCCGAAACCGAGUGAUCUAGGCAUGACCAGGAUGAAGGUAAGGUAACACUUACUGGAGGUCCGAACCCACACCUGUUGAAAAAGGUCGGGAUGAGUUGUGCCUAGGGGUGAAAGGCCAAUCAAACUCGGAGAUAGCUGGUUCUCCGCGAAAUCUAUUUAGGUAGAGCGUCAUCCGAAUACCCCCGGGGGUAGAGCACUGGAUGGGUAAUGGGGCCCCACAGGCUUACUGAUCCUAACCAAACUCCGAAUACCGGGGAGUACUAGAUGGCAGACACACUGCGGAUGCUAACGUCCGUAGUGGA